rnacentral:rRNA from 1 species
UACGUAGGGGGCAAGCGUUGUCCGGAUUUAUUGGGCGUAAAGAGCGUGUAGGCGGCCAGGUAGGUCGGUUGUGAAAACUCGAGGCUCAACCUCGAGAUGUCGACCGAAACCAUCUGGCUAGAGUCCGGAAGAGGAGAAUGGAAUUCCCGGUGUAGCGGUGAAAUGGCGCAGAUAUCGGGAAGAACACCCGUGGCGAAGGCGGUUCUCUGGGACGGUACUGACGCUGAGACGCGAAAGCGUGGGGAGCGAACAGG